rnacentral:rRNA from 1 species
AUUGAACGCUGGCGGCAUGCCUUACACAUGCAAGUCGAACGGCAGCACGGACUUCGGUCUGGUGGCGAGUGGCGAACGGGUGAGUAAUACAUCGGAACGUGCCUGGUAGUGGGGGAUAACCACUCGAAAGAGUGGCUAAUACCGCAUGAGAUCUACGGAUGAAAGCAGGGGAUCGCAAGACCUUGUGCUACUAGAGCGGCCGAUGGCAGAUUAGGUAGUUGGUGGGAUAAAAGCUUACCAAGCCAACGAUCUGUAGCUGGUCUGAGAGGACGAUCAGCCACACUGGGACUGAGACACGGCCCAGACUCCUACGGGAGGCAGCAGUGGGGAAUUUUGGACAAUGGGCGAAAGCCUGAUCCAGCAAUGCCGCGUGCAGGAUGAAGGCCUUCGGGUUGUAAACUGCCUUUGUACGGAACGAAAAGCUUCGGGUUAAUACCCUGGAGUCAUGACGGUACCGUAAGAAUAAGCACCGGCUAACUACGUGCCAGCAGCCGCCGUAACAC